ACGAGAAAAAGUUAUCACUCUCCUUGAUAAAGAUGGAAGAAGUCUUCAUGGCCUUUACAACACAUAUAUGGUUAGGUCAUUGCCACCUACUCUGUGUUAUCUAACCAUGACAGAGC
rnacentral:ncRNA from 1 species